CCCGCUGUUCCUUUGUGGAAGAUUCUAGAUCUCGAGAAAACGAAUUAAAGACACCAUAUUCCCCGAGAUUUUACGAUGUCUUCUAGGCGGCAAUCGGACAUGGUCCAGGUGACCUGUGUGGCCAUUAAGGAAUGGACCAAGAUCCUAAGGUUUAGAUUUACCCCUGCACCAGAGGCCAGUUGCACACAACAUCAGCGUGAUGCCAUAUUCUGGGAUGGAGAGCGGCUUCUCAGGACCACUGAAUUGGGACCACAGGGAAACCUAACAAAAAUUAAGGAGGGAGAAACAUAUUUUUUGAAAGGUUGCAGAGUGACAGAAUCAGGAUUUCUAAAUUUAAUGCGAGACAGCAAAAUCUAUCUGUCCAGCAAAAUGGACGUGCCUCAGGCAGCAGUGGAAGAAGGCCGGGCAAAGCUUUUCCCCAUGUCUCCUCAUAUUAGCUUUGAAGACCUGCAGAAUCCCCCAACUAUCUUUUCAGUUUGUGGAAAGGUUGUGAAAAUGAGCCAAAUACUGUGCAAGGGGGAUAAUCUUCCUUUAAAGGGAAUUACCAUAACAAAUCCAAAGGGAGAGGAGGCGCAACUAUCAAUGUGGAGGGAGUGUGCUCUGCAAAAGCUUGAAAUAAACAAGCAAUACAAUUUUACACAUCUAAAAAUGAAGCACUUCUCUUCUUAUGGAAGAAAGUGUUGCUCGACCUCGUACACACAAAUAACAGCUGCCAAAACUGAAGAUGAGGUUGACAUAACGGUUAAAGGAGUAGGAGAAGAUGAUGAAAGUGUUUUCCUACUCACCGAGCUAGGAACCGAGGUGAUAGUGCCAAAGGGAUUGUGGAAGGGGGAAAUGUCACACCUGUCCAAGCUGCUUCCCUUGAGUG
ensembl:lncRNA